CCUACGGGCGGCUGCAGUGGGGAAUAUUGGACAAUGGGGGCAACCCUGAUCCAGCCAUGCCGCGUGUGUGAAGAAGGCCCUCGGGUUGUAAAGCACUUUCAGUGAGGAAGAACGCCUGGUGGUUAAUACCCAUCAGGAAAGACAUCACUCACAGAAGAAGCACCGGCUAACUCCGUGCCAGCAGCCGCGGUAAUACGGAGGGUGCGAGCGUUAAUCGGAAUUACUGGGCGUAAAGCGCGCGUAGGUGGCUUGAUAAGCCGGUUGUGAAAGCCCCGGGCUCAACCUGGGAACGGCAUCCGGAACUGUCAAGCUAGAGUGCAGGAGAGGAAGGUAGAAUUCCCGGUGUAGCGGUGAAAUGCGUAGGGAUCGGGAGGAAUACCAGUGGCGAAGGCGGCCUUCUGGACUGACACUGACACUGAGGUGCGAAAGCGUGGGUAGCAAACAGGAUUAGAUACCCUGGUAGUC
rnacentral:rRNA from 1 species